rnacentral:rRNA from 1 species
GACUCCGUACGGGAGGCAGCAGUGGGGAAUAUUGCACAAUGGGGGAAACCCUGAUGCAGCCAUGCCGCGUGUGUGAAGAAGGCCUUCGGGUUGUAAAGCACUUUCAGUCAGGGAGGAAGGUAGUGUAGUUAACCACCUUGCACUAUUUGACGUUAACCUACAGAAGAAGUCACCGGCUAACUCCGUGCCAGCAGCCGCGGUAAUAACGGAGGGUGCGAGCGUUAAUCGGAAUUACUGGGCGUAAAGCGCAUGCAGGCGGCCUGUUAAGUCA